GGACGGCUAGCUCAACGGCAGAGCAUCGCGUUUACAUCGCGGAGGUUAUAGGUUCGAAUCCUAUGCCGUUCA
rfam:Candidatus Staskawiczbacteria bacterium RIFOXYB1_FTLL_37_44 rifoxyb1_full_scaffold_298, whole genome shotgun sequence.